rnacentral:lncRNA from 1 species
CACCUGGCCCGAAGGGCUAAGUGAGCUUUUCCCAUCACUUGGCGUCCGUCGUCCGUCGUCGUCGUCCGUCGUCGUCCGUCGUCCGUCGUCGUUAACUUUUACAAAAAUCUUCUCCUCUGAAACUACUGGGUCAAAUUAAACCAAACUUGGCCACAAUCAUCAUUGGGGUAUCUAGUUUAAAAAAUGUGUGGCGUGACCCGGCCAACCAACCAAGAUGGCCGCCAUGGCUAAAAAUAGAACAUAGGGGUAAAAUGCAGUUUUUGGCUUAUAACUCAAAAACCA